UGUAAAUCAAACAUAUACAUUGUAAACGCCAAACAUUUUUUCAAUUGAAACUUAUUUUAGAAGAAAUAGUGAAUCGUGCAAGGGUGCCAAUACAAUUGACCAUGUCUGUACAUUCAUCGCAACCCGUGCUGCUGUUUUCGCCUACCUCCACCCCAGCCCCUAACUGCUUAUUGUUCUGCUUUUCUUUUGAUAGGGGGGGGGGGCAACCUCUCCCACAGAGGUUGCCUGGUGUGACGGUGUUGACAUCAUCUGCUCCAUCACAACACAGCACUUGGGUGGAACAUUGAGAUUGAAGAAGACUUCAGGCUCAUUCAGAAUGGACAAAAACACAAGUAGCAACUCUGUCAUCUUCAACAUUCCUAAAGUGGACUUUAGCCAUGAGGGGUCAUACCGAUGUCAGUAUGAGAGUAGGGUAUCCAGUCGAGACUUCAGCUCCCCUCAAAGUGACUCUGUUGAAUCCUCUGUUAUAGUUGUCUUGCUACAGCCCAAUAUCUCUCUGUGCUCCAAAUAGAGGGAUGUUCUGGGGACUUCAGGGGCCACAGCUUCUCCAUCACCUGCUCCAUUCAGCCACAGUAUCCUGGAGGCCUCUUCUAUCGGGACUUCUCUGGGUCCAACAGGACUGAAACUACGCCAGCAGUCAACCACUCUGCCUCCUUUUACUUCCCUGUUGCAGAGUAUACAGAUGAGGGCAACUACAGUUGUGUUUGAGGUUAUUGUCUCCACCCUGUCAUUCCAUUCUACCAACAGAGUUGCUGACAGUCAGCAUUCAAGCAUCCAUAGUCCCCAUUAUUAGUGGGCUACUGCUCCUCUUGCUGCUGCGCGUUCCUUGUCUAGUCUGGAGGAAGAUAAGCAACAGAGAACAGACAAUGAUAAACCCAAGAGAAACGAGUGAGGAAAAUGAUGAAGAGGACGAUGUCAACGCAGAAGCCUUUGUCAACAAGAGCAAAGAUGAAGACUUGAAAAAAGGAUGCCGUGCAGGAAUGAAUGCUCCAGGAGCCAUGAACACGUGUGGAAACAACCAGAGGAAGGACCGGAGGCAGGUGAGGAAGAUGAGGACGUCUAUGAAAAUCCAAAUACCUUCACAUGGAUGGAUGAUGCUGAAGACAUGUACGAUGAAGACAACUUACUCUUUAGACCAGGAGCAGAAGAUGACAACAUAUAUGCAAACUAUGAGUGAAGGCCUUGUAAUAGGCAUGUUGAUGCAGAGAUAUUGAUAACAUGAGAGGCUUGAAAGGUUAGCUUUGUAAGUUGAAUUAUAAGGGCCUAAAAGAACAACUUUUUCAUUAGUAGAUAAGAGUAAAGGCUUUGUUCGAAUUUGAAUUUCAAUGUGCAUUUUUUGUGUAUGUGAUUUCCAGUUGUAUUCUUGCCGGUAAUUAUAUGCGUUUUCUGACUUGACUAACACAUCCAUUUAUCUUUUUUUGUUAUCUUUUUUAAUACAUAUUAUUUACUUGAGAUUCAAAAGAGUGAUUUUUCUUGAUGCAUUGGCUGAACAUAAUGUUUGUUUUUAAAAUGUUCCACCUUAAAAAAAUAUAUAUUAAUGCUUUAGACUAAUUCUUCUAUAAUAUUCAGUGUGCUGUCAAAUAAUAAUCCAGGUAGAACUCUUUUGGGUUCCUUGUAGAAUCAUCUGUGUAAAGGGUUCUACAUGGAACCAAAAAGGGUUCUUCAAAGGGUUCUCCUAUGGGGAUAUAGGAGAACUCAAGGUUCUAGAUAAAAAAUUGCUUUCUGGCAAAAUGAAAAUACAUUUGUACUGUAUGUAUAAAAUCUAUUUCAGUGUACAU